rnacentral:rRNA from 1 species
GACGAACGCUGGCGGCGUGCUUAACACAUGCAAGUCGAACGGAAAGGCCCUGCUUUUGUGGGGUGCUCGAGUGGCGAACGGGUGAUUAACCCGUGAGUAACCUGCCCUUGACUUUGGGAUAACUUCAGGAAACUGGGGCUAAUACCGGAUCGGAGCUCCUGCUGCAUGGUGGGGGUUGGAUAGUUGCGGCGGUUGGGGAUAGACUCGCGGCUUAUCAGCUUGUUGGUGGGGUAGUGGCUUCCCAAGGCCUUGACGGGUUGCCGGCCUGAGAGGGUGACCGGCGACAAUAGGACUGAGAUACGGCCCAGACUGCUACUGGAGGCAGCAGUGGGGAAUAUUGCACAAUGGGCGGAAGCCUAAGGCAGCAACGCCGCGUUCGGGAUGACGGCCUGCGGGGUGUAAACCGCUUUCGCCUGUGACGAAGCGUGAGUGACGGUAAUGGGUAAAGAAGCACCGGCUAACUACGUG